AGGACGAACGCUGGCGGCGUGCCUAACACAUGCAAGUCGAACGAGGUCCAUCCGGUAGCAAUACUGGUGAAGAUCAAGUGGCGAACGGGUGAGUAGCACGUGAGCAACCUGCCCCGAAGACCGGGACAACACCGGGAAACCGGUGCUAAUACCGGAUAUCCCCACCGAGUCGCAUGACUUGGCGAGGAAAUGGAUUCCGCUUUGGGAGGGGCUCGCGGCCUAUCAGCUUGUUGGUGAGGUAACGGCUCACCAAGGCUUCGACGGGUA
rnacentral:rRNA from 1 species